AAGUCGUAACAAGGUUUCCGUAGGUGAACCUGCGGAAGGAUCAUUAAUGAUUGACCGAAAGGUCUUAUCUCAUCCUUCAUACCUCUGUGAACCGUUGGCCCUCGGGCCUCUUUACAAAACACUGUGUAAUGAACGUCAAACAUAUUAAACAAAACAAAA
rnacentral:misc_RNA from 1 species